UGGAUCCAGACUUUGAUUCUGGCUCAGGAUGAACGCUAGCUACAGGCUUAACACAUGCAAGUCGAGGGGCAGCGGUAUCGAAAGCUUGCUUUUGAUAGCCGGCGACCGGCGCACGGGUGAGUAACGCGUAUCGAACCUGCCUCAUACUCGGGAAUAGCCUUGCGAAAGUAAGAUUAAUGCCCGGUGUUUUCAGAGUCCCGCAUGAGGCUUUGAACAAAGAUUUAUCGGUAUGAGAUGGCGAUGCGUCCCAUUAGCUUGUUGGCGGGGUAACGGCCCACCAAGGCAUCGAUGGGUAGGGGUUCUGAGAGGAAGGUCCCCCACAUUGGAACUGAGACACGGUCCAAACUCCUACGGGAGGCAGCAGUGAGGAAUAUUGGUCAAUGGGCGGAAGCCUGAACCAGCCAAGUAGCGUGCAGGAAGACGGCCCUCCGGGUUGUGAACUGCUUUUAGUUGGGAAUAAAACGGGGCUCGUGAGCCCCCUUGCAUGUACCAUCAGAAAAAGGACCGGCUAAUUCCGUGCCAGCAGCCGCGGUAAUACGGAAGGUCCGGGCGUUAUCCGGAUUUAUUGGGUUUAAAGGGAGCGCAGGCGGACCUUUAAGUCAGCUGUGAAAUACGGCGGCUCAACCGUCGAACUGCAGUUGAUACUGGAGGUCUUGAGUGCACACAGGGAUGCUGGAAUUCAUGGUGUAGCGGUGAAAUGCUCAGAUAUCAUGAAGAACUCCGAUCGCGAAGGCAGGCAUCCGGGGUGCAACUGACGCUGAGGCUCGAAAGUGCGGGUAUCAAACAGGAUUAGAUACCCUGGUAGUCCGCACAGUAAACGAUGAAUACUCGCGGUUUGCGAUAUAGUGUAAGCCGCCAAAGCGAAAGCGUUAAGUAUUCCACCUGGGGAGUACGCCGGCAACGGUGCAACUCAAAGGAAUUGACGGA
rnacentral:rRNA from 1 species